rnacentral:tRNA from 1 species
CUCUCGUUGUAGUAUAGUGGUAAGUAUUCCCGCUUGUCACGCGGGUGACCCGGGUUCGAUCCCCGGCAACGACGCC